rnacentral:rRNA from 1 species
UACGGGGGGGGCAAGCGUUGUUCGGAAUUACUGGGCGUAAAGGGCUCGUAGGCGGCCAACUAAGUCAGACGUGAAAUCCCCAGGCUUAACCUGGGAACUGCGUCUGAUACUGGAUGGCUGGAGUGUGGGAGAGGGAUGCGGAAUUCCAGGUGUAGCGGUGAAAUGCGUAGAUAUCUGGAGGAACACCGGUGGCGAAGGCGGCAUCCUGGACCAUUACUGACACUGAAAAGCGAAAGCCAGGGGAGCAAACGGG